rnacentral:lncRNA from 1 species
GGAGGAACCAGCCCCCGCUGUAGAAAAGGAUGUUGAGGUCGAAUCAGCACCAGCACCAGAAGAGGCUGCUCCUGCUGCGGAGGAAGUAGCAGCCCCUGUAGCUGAAGAGCCUGCGGCUGCAGAACCUGUAGCCGCAGAAUCAGAAGAGCCAGUGGCAGUUGCAGCAGAACCUGUUGCAGCUCCAGUUGAAGAACCUGUGGCUGCAGAAGAACCUGCAGCCGCAGCUGAGGAACCGGUUGCUGCAGCACCCGUUGAGGAGGCUCCAGCACCCGUAGCUGAACCCGAAGCAGCCCCAGUUGCAGAACCCGAAGCAGAGAAAACAGAGGAAUCUGCCCCUGCAUCUGAGGAGCCAGAGAAAGUUGAAGAGUAAAAUUCAAAUGGUUGAUGAAUGAUGGUUUUUUUUUUUUUUUAUAUUGAAAUUUGGUUGUGUUUAUUGUGUUUUUUAGUUGAGUAUUUUAUUUACUGCUACUAUUAUUAUUACUAAAACUAUAUUUUAAUAUAAUAUGGUUACAAUGAGGGCAUAUGUUAAUAUUAAUAUAUGCCUAGGUCUAGGUGGUCGGGUGGGAUAUUUUACAUAGUUUUUUUUUAAAGCUAUGUGUGUAAUCUUGUCCAGGGUUCAGUUUGUCAUGGUUUGAUUAAAGAUGAUAUGAGAUUUGAUCUCUAGUUUAUUAUAAUAAUAAAGGGGUAAUAACUUUUUUUUGUUGUUUAUGAAUGGACUCUAAAGAGGGCGAGUUUGAAUGUACUGCUCCCCCAGCUCUCUAAGGAGGGUUUCGUAAUGGUUUUUCAAAAAAAUCGAUCGAAAGCUAUAUCAUUAAAAUUUUAAUGGUUAAUACAUAUAAAAAAUUGAGAAAAUUACUUAUUCUUGUAAAUUGAUUCCUAAAUACUCAAAAUGCACUCUAAAAAUGAUGACAUUGUAUAUACAAGUCCCCAACUCUCUACUAGUGAUUUAAGUUAUGGUUUCACAAAGAAAUGAAAAGUCACAACACUUUGAAAAGAUCUCUUCUGAGUUAUGAAACAACAUAUAUAUCCUCUAUCAAUACCCCUCACAAAAUCUUGUUCCACAUCCGCCAUAAUUUUAGAAGGAACAAAUUAUGGGUGGUUCAAUGAAUCAAUAGGAAAAUAGCAUAGAUGAGGUACUUGAGAGAAAAAAAUCCAACAAGUUUAGUUGAUAGAUAGAUAGAUAAUACAGAUAAACAUAGGGUAGGUAGGUAUAUAGAUUUAUGUUAUCAAAUAUUUUUCACAUAUUUCUUCUUAAUUUUAUGUGAAAAAACUUUACGAGAAUAUCCGUAAUAAGUAGGAGAAACAUACAUAUAGUCUAAUAAUUUUUAAGUCAUAUUUUCGUAUUUGCCAACCAACUUUUUGGAUCUACAUGAUUUCUCAUAUUAGCCCAUGAAUUUCGCACCUUGGAGCACUCAAAUAUUUUUCUAAAAAGACUUUAUGUGGACCACCGUAAUGAGUUGGGAAAACCCUAUGUAUAGUCCUACCAUUUUAAGGCCUAUUUCGCAUUACCAAAUCAACUUUUAGGAAUACGCGACUUUCCCAAUUGUUCGCGUGUAUUAGCCCAUGGAUCUGACGCCUUAGAGAAUCCAAUUUUAUUUAAGGAUUUUGUAAUGAUAUGGGUUGGAAUUACGUAUAUUCCCACCAUUUUAAGGUUAAUUUUUGUAUUUUUUGGCCAACUUUUAAGAAUUACGCGACUAUUUGAAUUUUUCGUGUGUAUUAGGCAAUUGAUCUGAAACCUUGGAACACUGAAUUUUUUUCUAAAGAACCUUUAUGGGCACCUCCGUAAUGAGUUGGGGAAACAUAACAUACCUGGAAAAGCAUCCAAAGGGUCUUAAUAUGGGCCCACUAGGCCCAAAUAAAGUAGGGCCCAUUUAGAGAAAGCCCAAAAGGAUUUAGAUCUAAAAAGGAAGUGCCACGUCAGAAUAUGGGGCCCAUUUAGACGUUAAUGGUCGUAAAUUGUGAUAGUGGGGGCCCAUUUAGCACCGGCCCUUCACUAUUAAUUUGGACUUUACGUUCAUAACCAAUUUGUCCACAAAUCAAAAAUAAUAAUAAUAAUUCAACUUGGCUUUUAUUUUUUCUUCAAAUUCCUAAACAUUCUCAUCUUGACUAGUAUUGUAGAAAAAAACAUUUUACUAUUUUUGGUGAAAUUUUGAUGUGAUUUUACUCUAAUGUAAUUUUACUGUUGUUAAUGAAAAGGUGUGUCAUGCCGACAAUAAAUAAAUAAAAAGAUAAUUUAAUGUAAAAAUUAUUUCAUAUUUAACGAGAUCUGAAAGGAUCGUCAUAUUUCAAAAAGAAGUAAUGUAGGUAGUUUAUCUUCAGCAUGUAUUAAUGUCUGAUCAUGACCCGAAUUCGUGAUUAAUAGAUCGAUCCAAUCCAAAGUCGGCAACAGAAAAUGUAUAAUUAAAAUAGUAAUAUCACGAGUUUAAGUUGUUUAAUAUUUUUUUUAUUUAAUUUAUACGAUGCGAAGAGUUAUGGAGCUUUUGAUUUAACUAUAAUAUAAUAUUUGUUUGGUUAUAAAACUUUUGAAAUACACGACUUAAACCUAUGAAAUAUUUAAUAAGUUAAAUUAUUUUUAGAUUGUAACAUAUUUUAUAAUUUUUGCAAAUAAAACAACCUAUUAAAAUGAAUUUAACUAAAAAAUAUAUAUCAUACCACAUUGAUAAAUGCACACAUAGUUAAAAGAAAAUAUGUUUCAACUAAUUAAACAUUUAUACAAUAAUUUGCGAGAUCCAAUACAUAACAUUAAAAAAAAUAGAUAAAAAGGUUAGAGUCAUUAUUUACAUGGAUUAGCAACUUAAUUCAUUCGAGCGAUAAAAGUUGUGAUAGAAUGAUAAAUAUUUUUUUGAUUUUUUUAAAUUUAAAUAGAAAUUUCAAAUUCAAACGUUAGUUACGAAAGCAUGAUUGUUACAGAAUAUAUAUAUUAAGUAUAACUUUUCGAUAUGAAUCAAAAUUCAAUCGAACCCUACUGAACGUUGGAUGGGAAAUUUUAAAAAAUUAAAUUAAUUUCCUUAAACCAAGAGAUUUUGUUGUAAAGGAACUAAAAUUAAGAAAAAGAUUAAUUUUUAAAAAUUAGAAGAACAUGAAAGCAUGAUGGUCUUAGUCACCUACAUGCCCUACUGCACAAAACACAGAAAGAAAAAAGAUAUAAUAGCUGUUAUAGUAAAUGGUCUCCACCACCAUGUGGCAUUGCUAUUUCCCAAUCAAAACAAGUGCUUUUAGACAAACCUAAUAAAUGAAUUUAUUAAUUACAUUUUUUUUAAAAAAAAAAUUGUGUUUGAGUCGAAGAUCUAUCGAAUCACGUAUGUUUAGUUAUCCUUUAAGGUAAAAAUGAGAUUUCAUGUACACACUAUUCUUUUCACUUGCGGCAUGAGACUAACUAUGUUAUUGUUACUGUAUUAUUACGUAGAAAAUGCCUAAUUUUGAAAAUCAAUAAGGAAAAAAUAAAAAUAAUGUGUUGAAUAUUAUUUUCUUAGAAAAUAUUAUCGAUGUGAAUUUAUUCAUAUUGGUGGUCCUAAAUUUGAAUGAAAAGAUUAAUAAGUAAUUAAAUGAAUAUGUAAUGUCACCAAACGGAAAGGUUUUUAUUUUCAAAAUAAAUAAGGAAGAAAAAAGGAAAAGAAUGUGUUAAGAGUGUUUUUCUUAUAAGAGAUUGUUAAUGUGAACUGAUUUAUAUUGUCGAUUUAAUGUUUGAAUAAAUAAAUUUAUAAUCUUGUCAAAGAAAAAACUCUUCAUAUUGAAAAUCAAAAAGGAAAAAAAAUGUGUAAGAAUAUUAUUUUUCUUAAAUUUAUUCAUAUUAUCAAUCUCAAGUUCAAAUUAAUAAAUAAAUUAAUUUAUAAUGCCAUGAAAGAAAAAAAUUCGCCACGUUGAAAAACAAUAAAGAAGAGAGGGGAAAGAGGAUACAAUUUUGUUUAUUAUUAACUAGAUUUUCGUUUUGUGAUUGUUGAAAUUUUAACUGUUUUAUUCAUAAGUCUUAAAUUCGAACUAUAUGAAAUUUUUUUAAAAAAAUCCUCAAUAAAAAGUGUUUUACUUAUAAAUACCAUCUAAUGUUAAGACUAUAUAUUUAGAAAAUGAAAGUUUCAAAUUUCAAAUUUUACUUGUUAAAUUUUAAAUUCUAUAAUAAUAGCUAAAAAAAUGGAUAUUUGUGAAUUUUACUAUGUGUUACUUGAUGGACUUACUCCAUUAGAAUCUAGACUAAUCGAAUGUGUAAAUUUAAAUAUCCGAUAAUUAUAACAAUAACAACAGACUGAAUAUUAUUCCAUAUAUAUAUAUAUAUAGAGAGAGAGAGAGAGAGAGAGAAAUCUUAAUUCUAUCUAAAGGUAAUUUUUAAUAGAUCCUCAACUCGCGUAUGAAUUGAUUAAACUUAUAUUAUAUAAGGUAAGGAAAAAAGGAAAUAUUUUGUAUGAUUACUAUUAUUUUCUUAUUAUUAUAAACAUAAAGUAAAGUAAAAGUAAAUACAUUUACAACUAGACAUCCAAAUCUUUUGUACACCCUUAAUUGUCAGUGAUAUGAGGUGUCAAUAUGUAUAUACUUGAAGAUUCUUUUUUUCUUCCAUUAAUUAAUUUUAUAUUAAUACACUCCAUUUUACUUUCUCUAUAUAAAGCUCUCUCAUUUGAUCAUUUUUUCCAUCAACAAAUUACAAUUACAAAUAUUUUGCCCCCUUCCAUUUCUUAAUUUAUUUUCCUCUUUCCCAUCUUCUUAUUUUCCAACUUUCUUCCAAUGGCCAGUGUUGAGGUAUUUUUAUAAUAAUGUUUUCAGCUAGCUAAUUAACUUUUCUCCAAUUUUUUUGAUAUCCUGAAAUAUUAUUAGAUCGUUCUUGUAUAAAGGUGUGAUCAUAUAUGACAUCAAGAUUUAUUAUCAAUUUAAUUCGGAUUUUUUAAGAACGCCAACUAGCAUGUCUAGAUCCUCCAAAAGUAGUGAAUUUUUGGAUGAUCAGAUCGAUACUAGUGAUGAAAUUUUUUUAAGCGUCAGAGUAACGUAAAAAAAUUAAGCUAGUGAUCUGAUAGCUCAUAGGAAAACACUAAAAAAAAAUAAUAGAAUCUUGAUCUUACUUACUAGCUAUAGUAUAUGUUUGUUACUAUAUAAAAUAAAAAGCAGAAUUGUUUAAUCUCUAAUUUUGUUAAAACCAUAAGUGAUAAUUUAAUUUAAUGGAUCUUUCUAACUUAAUUGAUUUUUUUUUGUCUUUGUGAAAGGUUGAAUCUGCACCAGUAGCACCAGUAGAGACUACUCCAGCUGAGGUUGAAGUUACCCCAGCUCCAGAGGUAAACAAGGUAACGUUUAAUUAUCUGAUCGUCUUAUCUAAAAGUUUAAUAUGUUAAAAGAAGUUACACUUUUAAUUACUUAAUCAUGUUUGUAACAUUCGCUUACAUGUUAUGUUGCUUGGAAUCUUUAAAACUGUGAUUGCAUGCGUUCCUAUCAGAUCCUCAGAAAGUAAUAUAAUUUUGAAGGAUCUGACACGGAUGCAAUAUUAACAUAAUCUGAUUUUUCUUUGCUUGUUCAAACACGUGAAAGUUUUUUUUUUUAAUCAUAGUAGUGAUGUGAUUUGAACUCAGGACAUCUAACUGCUCUGAUAUCAUAUCGAAUUUUAAAUGAUCAUAUUAUUUAAAGUAUAUAUUAAUUAACUUAAUUAUAUCUUCAACAGGCGGAGGAACCAGCCCCCGCUGUAGAAAAGGAUGUUGAGGUCGAAUCAGCACCAGCACCAGAAGAGGCUGCUCCUGCUGCGGAGGAAGUAGCAGCCCCUGUAGCUGAAGAGCCUGCGGCUGCAGAACCUGUAGCCGCAGAAUCAGAAGAGCCAGUGGCAGUUGCAGCAGAACCUGUUGCAGCUCCAGUUGAAGAACCUGUGGCUGCAGAAGAACCUGCAGCCGCAGCUGAGGAACCGGUUGCUGCAGCACCCGUUGAGGAGGCUCCAGCACCCGUAGCUGAACCCGAAGCAGCCCCAGUUGCAGAACCCGAAGCAGAGAAAACAGAGGAAUCUGCCCCUGCAUCUGAGGAGCCAGAGAAAGUUGAAGAGUAAAAUUCAAAUGGUUGAUGAAUGAUGGUUUUUUUUUUUUUUUAUAUUGAAAUUUGGUUGUGUUUAUUGUGUUUUUUAGUUGAGUAUUUUAUUUACUG